rnacentral:rRNA from 1 species
GAUGAACGCUGGCGGCGUGCCUAAUACAUGCAAGUCGAGCGAACAGACGAGGAGCUUGCUCCUCUGACGUUAGCGGCGGACGGGUGAGUAACACGUGGAUAACCUACCUAUAAGACUGGGAUAACUUCGGGAAACCGGAGCUAAUACCGGAUAAUAUAUUGAACCGCAUGGUUCAAUAGUGAAAGACGGUUUUGCUGUCACUUAUAGAUGGAUCCGCGCCGCAUUAGCUAGUUGGUAAGGUAACGGCUUACCAAGGCAACGAUGCGUAGCCGACCUGAGAGGGUGAUCGGCCACACUGGAACUGAGACACGGUCCAGACGCCUACGGGAGGCAGCAGUAGGGAAUCGUCCGCAAUGGGCGAAAGCCUGACGGAGCAACGCCGCGUGAGUGAUGAAGGUCUUCGGAUCGUAAAACUCUGUUAUGAGGGAAGAACAAAUGUGUAAGUAACUAUGCACGUCUUGACGGUACCUAAUCAGAAAGCCACGGCUAACUACGUG